rnacentral:tRNA from 1 species
GAGAGAUGUCAGAGUGGUCGAAUGUGCCGGUCUUGAAAACCGGUGUACCGAGAGGUACCGGGGGUUCGAAUCCCUCUCUCUCC